UGCAAGUCGAACGCUUUGUCUUUAAUUGAUCUGACGAGCUUGCUCUAAUUUGAUUUUAUCUGACAAAGAGUGGCGAACGGGUGAGUAACACGUGGGUAACCUACCUCUUAGCAGGGGAUAACAUUUGGAAACAAGUGCUAAUACCGUAUAAUACCAACAACCGCAUGGUUGUUGGUUGAAAGAUGGUUCUGCUAUCACUAAGAGAUGGACCCGCGGUGCAUUAGCUAGUUGGUAAGGUAAAGGCUUACCAAGGCAAUGAUGCAUAGCCGAGUUGAGAGACUGAUCGGCCACAAUGAGACUGAGACACGGCCCAUACUCCUACGGGAGGCAGCAGUAGGGAAUCUUCCACAAUGGGCGCAAGCCUGAUGGAGCAACGCCGCGUGUGUGAUGAAGGGUUUCGGCUCGUAAAACACUGUUAUAAGAGAAGAACGGCACUGAGAGUAACUGUUCAGUGUGUGACGGUAUCUUACCAGAAAGGAACGGCUAAAUACGUG
rnacentral:rRNA from 1 species